GGUACGGGGGGGGCAAGCGUUGUUCGGAAUUACUGGGCGUAAAGGGCUCGUAGGUGGCCAACUAAGUCAUACGUGAAUCCCUCGGCUUAACCGGGGAACUGCGUCUGAUACUGGAUGGCUUGAGGUUGGGAGAGGGAUGCGGAAUUCCAGGUGUAGCGGUGAAAUGCGUAGAUAUCUGGAGGAACACCGGUGGCGAAGGCGGCAUCCUGGACCAAUUCUGACACUGAGGAGGCGAAAGCCAAGGGGAGGCAAACCGGGA
rnacentral:rRNA from 1 species